UACGAAGGGGGCUAGCGUUGCUCGGAAUCACUGGGCGUAAAGGGUGCGUAGGCGGGUUUUUAAGUCUGGGGUGAAAUCCUGGAGCUCAACUCCAGAACUGCCUUUGAUACUGAAGAUCUUGAGUCCGGGAGAGGUGAGUGGAACUGCGAGUGUAGAGGUGAAAUUCGUAGAUAUUCGCAAGAACACCAGUGGCGAAGGCGGCUCACUGGCCCGGUACUGACGCUGAGGCACGAAAGCGUGGGGAGCAAACAGG
rnacentral:rRNA from 1 species